UACGUAGGAGGCGAGCGUUGUUCGGAAUUACUGGGCGUAAAGCGCACGUAGGCGGCUUUGUAAGUUAGAGGUGAAAGCCUGGAGCUCAACUCCAGAACUGCCUUUAAGACUGCAUCGCUUGAAUCCAGGAGAGGUGAGUGGAAUUCCGAGUGUAGAGGUGAAAUUCGUAGAUAUUCGGAAGAACACCAGUGGCGAAAGGCGGCUCACUGGACUGGUAUUGACGCUGAGGUGCGAAAGCGUGGGGAGCAAACAGG
rnacentral:rRNA from 1 species